rnacentral:rRNA from 1 species
GACGAACCGAGCGAACGUUAUUCGGAAUCACUGGGCUUAAAGGGCGCGUAGGCGGGCGGCCAAGUCAGGGGUGAAAGCCCCCAGCUCAACUGGGGAAGUGCCUCUGAUACUGGUCAUCUCGAGGGAGGUAGGGGCGUGCGGAACUUCCGGUGGAGCGGUGAAAUGCGUAGAUAUCGGAAGGAACACCGGUGGCGAAAGCGGCGCGCUGGACCUCUUCUGACGCUGAUGCGCGAAAGCCAGGGGAGCAAACGGG